rnacentral:tRNA from 1 species
GCCGAUGUAGCUCAGUUGGCCAGAGCACGUGAUUUGUAAUCUCGGGGUCGUGGGUUCGACUCCCUCCAUCGGCU